rnacentral:rRNA from 1 species
GUGCCAGCAGCCGCGGUAAUACGUAGGUGGCAAGCGUUAUCCGGAAUUAUUGGGCGUAAAGCGCGCGUAGGCGGUUUUUUAAGUCUGAUGUGAAAGCCCACGGCUCAACCGUGGAGGGUCAUUGGAAACUGGAAAACUUGAGUGCAGAAGAGGAAAGUGGAGUUCCAUGUGUAGCGGUGAAAUGCGCAGAGAUAUGGAGGAACACCAGUGGCGAAGGCGACUUUCUGGUCUGUAACUGACGCUGAUGUGCGAAAGCGUGGGGAUC